rnacentral:tRNA from 1 species
AUUUAUAUAGUUUAAGCAAAACAUUACAUUUUCAAUGUAAAAAUAAUUUAUUUUUAUAAAU